rnacentral:rRNA from 1 species
CGAACGGGUGAGUAACACGUGGGUAAUCAACCCUCGAUACUGGGAUAGCCCGGGGAAACCCGGAUUAAUACCGGAUGGCCCUUUGGAUCCUCGGAUCUGAAGGAAAAGGUAGCUUCGGCCUCCGAUCGAGGACGAGCCCGCGGCGGAUUAGCUUGUUGGUGAGGUAACGGCCCACCAAGGCAUUGAUGGGUAGCUGGUCUGAGAGGACGGACAGCCACACUGGGACUGAGACACGGCCCAG